UACGUAGGGUGCAAGCGUUGUCCGGAAUCAUUGGGCGUAAAGCGCGCGUAGGCGGCCCGGUAAGUCCGCUGUGAAAGUCCAGGGCUCAACCCUGGAAAGCCGGUGGAUACUGCCGGGCUAGAGUCCGGAAGAGGCGAGUGGAAUUCCCGGUGUAGCGGUGAAAUGCGCAGAUAUCGGGAGGAACACCAAUGGCGAAGGCAGCUCGCUGGGACGGUACUGACGCUGAGACGCGAAAGCGUGGGGAGCAAGCAGG
rnacentral:rRNA from 1 species